UACGGGGGGGGCAAGCGUUGUUCGGAAUUAUUGGGCGUAAAGGGCUUGUAGGCGGCCAACUAAGUCAGACGUGAAAUCCCCAGGCUCAACCUGGGAACUGCGUCUGAUACUGGAUGGCUUGAAUCCGGGAGAGGGAUGCAGAAUUCCAGGUGUAGCGGUGAAAUGCGUAGAUAUCUGGAGGAAUACCGGUGGCGAAGGCGGCAUCCUGGACCGGCAUUGACGCUGAGGAGCGAAAGCUAGGGGAGCAAACGGG
rnacentral:rRNA from 1 species